rnacentral:misc_RNA from 1 species
CCGUGCCUGUAGUUCCCGGCGGCUCCUUUUAAAAAGGGGGGUUCGUUUGGGGCUACAACCGGCCCAACCGUGUCUAUCUGUACCUGUUGCUUCGGCGGGCCUGCGGGCUUGCUCGCUGCCGGGAGCCUCUAAAGCUCCGGGCUCGUGCCCGCCGAAGACACCUAGAACUUCUGGUGAAUUUAGCGGUCUGAGUGGACUUUAUAAUCGUUA